CAAACUGGAGAUGGCGACCGGCGCACGGGUGAGUAACACGUAUCCAACCUGCCUCAUACUCGGGGAUAGCCUUUCGAAAGAAAGAUUAAUAUCCGAUAGCAUAUAUUUCCCGCAUGGGUUUUAUAUUAAAGAAAUUCGGUAUGAGAUGGGGGUGCGUUCCAUUAGUUUGUUGGGGGGUAACGGCCCACCAAGACUACGAUGGAUAGGGGUUCUGAGAGGAAGGUCCCCCACAUUGGAACUGAGACACGGUCCAA
rnacentral:rRNA from 1 species